rnacentral:rRNA from 1 species
CAGCAGCCACGGUAAUACGUAGGAUCCGAGCGUUGUCCGGAAUUAUUGGGCGUAAAGGGCUCGUAGGCGGUUUGUUGCGUCGGGAGUGAAAACCAGGUGCUUAACACCUGGCCUGCUUUCGAUACGGGCAGACUAGAGGCAUUCAGGGGAGAACGGAAUUCCUGGUGUAGCGGUGAAAUGCGCAGAUAUCAGGAGGAACACCGGUGGCGAAGGCGGUUCUCUGGGCCGUAACUGACGCUGAGGAGCGAAAGCAUGGGGAGCGAACAGGAUUAGAGACCCCUGUAGUCCCUGUCUCUUAUAU